AACCAUAGGCCAUGAAUCUGGUCUUGGGACACUGUCAGGUGGGCAGUUUGACUGGGGCGGUCGCCUCCCAAAAGGUAACGGAGGCGCUCAAAGGUUCUCUCAGUACGGUCGGAAAUCGUACGUAGAGGGUAAAGGCAAAAGAGAGCUUGAUUGCAAGACAUACAGGUCGAGCAAGGAUGAAAAUCGGACUUAGUGAUCCGGUGGUUCUGCGUGGA
rnacentral:rRNA from 1 species